rnacentral:piRNA from 1 species
UAUUAAUUGUGGAUUGGUCUUAUCGC